UACGUAGGGUGCGAGCGUUGUCCGGAAUUAUUGGGCGUAAAGAGCUUGUAGGCGGUUUGUCGCGUCUGCCGUGAAAAUCCGGGGCUCAACCCCGGACUUGCGGUGGGUACGGGCAGACUAGAGUGUGGUAGGGGAGACUGGAAUUCCUGGUGUAGCGGUGAAAUGCGCAGAGAUCGGGAGGAACACCCGUAGCGAAGGCGGUUCUCUGGGCCGGUACUGACGCUGAGGAGCGAAAGCGUGGGGAGCAAACAGG
rnacentral:rRNA from 1 species